rnacentral:lncRNA from 1 species
CUUGAUUGAUUUUAAACCAAUUUCUCUUAAACUCUAAUUUAAAUUCUCUUUUGUUUUCUUUUCCUUAUUUUGUUUUAUUCACAAAAUCAAAUCAAAACCCCCUUGGUGUUGGUGUGUGUUUGGAAGUCCUUUGUUUUGAUUUUCAUUGCGUGACAUUGAUAAACAUCUCUUUAGAUCACAAUCUCCGUGGGAUCGACCCUUGCUUGCUUACUAUACUAUCAUUUGAUUUGUGCACUUGCAAGGUUUUAAUAUUGUUGUUAAAAUUUACCAACAAGUUUUUGGCGCCGUUGCCGGGGAUUUUCAAUCUAAUUGAGUUUUGUUUUCAAUUUCAGGUAUAUGCUGGGUCGUCGUUCGCAGAGUCACGAACUUAUACCAUACGACCCUGAACUAGAGAACACACUUCUUAUCUCCAUCGAGAUAAAAAUAAGCAAGAUACACUUCCAAUCAAGAUGGGAGACGAGUUGGAACUCAACAACCUCACCCGACCUUUGAAGGAUUUCACAGUUCCUAAAGCAUUGGACCAGCCGUCUUGUAUUGCGUAUCCAGCCGCUACAACCACCUUUGAGAUCAAGAGUGGCACCAUUCACCUUUUGCCGCAAUUCUAUGGCAAGGCUGGGGAUGAUCCUCACAUACAUAUCAAGGAUUUCUUUGCCGUGUGCGCGACUAUGCACAAUGGAGGGAUUAGUGAUGAGGCAAUCAGAUUGCGUUUAUUUCCAUUCUCACUCAAGGAACGAGCCAAGGAGUGGCUCUAUUCUUUACCUAGUGCAUCUGUCACAACAUGGACAUCAUUGGCUUCCAAGUUCCUUGCAAAGUUCUUUCCAGCUCAAAAGACAAACCAUAUUAGGAAGGAGAUCAUGGGAGUGCAGCAACUAGAUGGAGAAUCAUUUCAUGAGUAUUGGGAUCGGUUUCAGAGACUCCUAGCUUCGUGCCCUCAUCACCAAAUUGAAGAUUGGCUACUUAUGCAAUACUUUUAUGAGGGAUUACUUGAUUCGGAGAGGAUGAUGGUUGAUGCUACUAGUGGAGGAGGUUUGAUGAACAAGAGUGCUACUCAAGCCAAGGAGAUGUUUGAGAACAUUGCAGCAAACUCUCAACAGUUUAAUUACCGGAGAGCUCCCCCAAAGAAAGCAGGUGUUUAUGAGGUAAGUGCUAGUGAUAUUGGUCCUCAAAUAGCUAAUUUGACUAACCUUGUUAAGCAGUUAAUCCCUCAAGCACAAGUGUGUGCCGUGUGUGCUAAUCCCGGACAUCAUACGGAGUCUUGUCCAAGUUUGUAUGGUAAUGGAGAAGAGAUGGCUCAAGCACACUAUAUGCAGCAACAAAAGCCAAGAAACGAUCCAUUUUCUAACACUUAUAAUCCGGGAUGGCGGCAACACCCUAACUUUGGAUGGAAGAACAACCAAAAUGUGCAAACAGCCCCAGUUCAACAAAAUCAGUUUGUUCCUCAACAAAAUGCACCUGCACCACCUGGGCAAGGUAAGUCUUUAGAAGAGUUAAUUAAUUCUUUGGCAUUAAGCACUCAAGGUUUUAUGCAGGAAACAAGGCAAACACAGGCACAAAUGUCUACAGCAAUCAAGAGCCUUGAAAACCAAGUUGGACAGAUUGCAGCCUCCUUGAGCCAAAGAGAGCCAGGAAAGUUUCCAAGCCAAGUAAUUCCAAAUCCUAAUGGAGGCCAUGACACCGCAAAUGCGAUUACUCUUCGAAGUGCAAAAAGGUGGAAAAGGAUGACAAUGAGGAGAGAAAUUCAACCAAAACAGUGGCUGCCCCCUCUCCCAAGCUUACGGUUCCAAGUGACAACUCUAAGGUAAGUUCUCUUGUGAAUCAUUCAAUUACUUCAAAGGUUCCUUUUCCUCGUAGGUUUUUGAAUUCAAAAAAGGAGCAAGUUUCAAAGGAUAUCCUAGAGACUUUCUGAAAAGUGCAAGUGAACAUUCCCUUGCUCGAUGCAAUCCAACAAAUUCCAAGCUAUGCAAAAUUCCUCAAAGAGCUUUGUACAAAUAAGAGGACGUUCAAGGAGCAUGAAACCGUGGCCUUAAGUGAAGAAGUCUCUGCCGUGCUAUUGCGUAAAUUACCUCCUAAACUAAAGGAUCCAGGGAGUUUUACUAUACCUUGUCUCAUUGGAAAUCAAAGGUUUGAACAUGCUUUAUUAGCCUUAGGUGCUUCAAUUAAUUUGAUGCCUUUUUCUGUUUUUGAAUCUUUAAAUUUAGGUGAGCUUAAGAAGACUUCCGUGAGCAUACAAUUGGCUGAUCGAUCAAUCAAGUAUCCUAAGGGAGUAUUGACGUUUUGGUCAAGGUGAAUGAGCUAAUUUUUCCAGCUGACUUUCUAGUGCUCGAGAUGGAGGAAGUUCCUAUUCCUGGAAAAGACCUUCCAUUGAUUCUAGGACGUCCAUUCAUGAGAACAGCAAGGACAAAAAUUGAUGUGUAUGAAGGCACUCUCACAAUGGCAUUCGAUGAGGAAACCGUGGAGUUUAAGGUCUUUGAUGCUUUAAAAUAUCCUAAUGAUGAUCAUG